rnacentral:rRNA from 1 species
GACGAACGCUGGCGGCGUGCUUAACACAUGCAAGUCGAACGGGUCUGCCCUGUUUUUUGCGGGGUGGGUCAGUGGCGAACGGGUGAGUAACACGUGAGUAACCUGCCCCUCACUUCUGGAUAACCGCUUGAAAGGGUGGCUAAUACGGGGUGUUCUGGCUGUGCCGCAUGGUGUGGCUGGGAAAGAUUCACUUUUGUGGUGUUUUGGUGGGGGAUGGGCUCGCGGCCUAUCAGCUUGUUGGUGGGGUGAUGGCCUGCCAAGGCUUUGACGGGUAGCCGGCCUGAGAGGGUGGGCGGUCACACUGGGACUGAGAUACGGCCCAGACUCCUGCGGGAGGCAGCAGUGGGGGGUAUUGCACAAUGGGCGGAAGGAUGAUGCAGCGACGUCGCGGGAGGGAUGGAGGCCUUCGGGUUGUGAACCUCUUUCGCCGGUGAAGAAGGUCCUGCUCUUUGUGGUGGGGUUGACGGUAGCCGGGUUAUGAAGCGCCGGCUAACUACGUG